UCCCUGGAGGUCUAGUGGCUAAGACUCUGCUUUCCAAAUGCAGGGUCCAGGGUUUGAUCCCUGGUCAGGGAA
rnacentral:tRNA from 1 species